CUUUGGAGGGCUAGGUGGUGGAGGGGAGUAAAAGUCGUGGCUUGGUUAGGGCUCGGUGGAGGGCCAGGUUUGUAGGUGGCCCGGUUGUUGGAGGAGGGGAGCAAGAUACUCUAGGUAUCGAGGAGAUGGACGUCGGGGCGCAAAGGGGGAGGUGCUCGUGUCGGGGCUCGCUGAGGGCACGGGCUACCGGAGGCGGGCACGACUUCGAACGGCGGCCCUCUGGGGGUACCGGCAACUUACCUCGAAACGGAGCGGCCUAGGAGCGGCCACGGGGCAGGACCAGAGGACCACGGUAGGGUGCGGGCCCAGGCAGAAACGACGGAGGUAGCAACGCAGGGAUCGGAGCGAGCGCGGGCCUAGGUCCUCAGCGCGCAGUUCAAGCGGCGGCGGUUCUGGGACGGAGUGGCCUAGGCGGAAGAUGACGACCCUUAGCCAAGGGCAACUGGAGCGGGACGGAGUCCACCAGCAGGGCGGCAGCAAACAGCGACCUUCGUGGUCGCGGCGGUGUGGAGCUAACGGACCUUGCGUGCGCGCAGUUCAGGCGAGCGGCGAGAAGGGGCAACUGGCGCAGUCGGGUCGUCACGGUUCUGGAUACUCCGGAGGAUGUGUCUAGACCCGUACCGGGUACGAAACCAAAGCAAGGCCUCAACACUACUAGGCAAGCUGAUGCGGGCAAACAGAAGAAGUACCUGAGCAAGAAGAAGGAACGCCCUAGAGUCCACGGCUACUAUGGCCACGUCCAUUGCGUUGACUCGAGUUCUCCCUCGAGCUACUUUAGCACUAGCAACACAACAAAAGUAAAGGACAGUUAGUCAUCACCUCGGGUCAACCCUGCUAGCCCCUAGAUCGUAAACCCCAACAGAAGAAAAUAAAACCAAGGCAUCAGCCUGGAACAAAUAUAAGACCUACUACAUACAAUAUAAAUACAUAACACACUUCACCGUUAACAUUCGGUUGAGAAAUAGGGAAAGAAUAAGUCAUGUACCCUACACAUUUCUAAAGGGGAGAACGCUGUACGGAUG
rnacentral:rRNA from 1 species